rnacentral:tRNA from 1 species
GCCCGAAUAGCUCAGUCGGUAGAGCAACUGAUUCGUAAUCAGUAGGUCGGAGGUUCGAAUCCUCUUUCGGGCA